GGGGAAUUUUGGACAAUGGACGAAAGUCUGAUCCAGCGACGCCGCGUGGAGGACGAAGGUUUUCGGAUCGUAAACUCCUUUUACAGGGGACGAAAGCGGGCAACCGUUUGACGGUACUCUGUGAAUAAGCCACGGCUAACUACGUGCCAGCAGCCGCGGUAAUACGUAGGUGGCGAGCGUUACUCGGAAUUACUAGGCGUAAAGCGCGUGUAGGCGGGAGCUUAAGUCUGUCGUGAAAGCUCAGGGCUCAACCCUGAAAUGCCGGCAGAAACUGGGCUUCUUGAGUGCGGUAGAGGAGAUCGGAAUUCCAGGUGUAGCGGUGAAAUGCGUAGAUAUCUGGAAGAACGCCAAAGGCGAAGGCAGAUCUCUGGGCCGUUACUGACGCUGAGACGCGAAAGCUAGGGGAGCAAAC
rnacentral:rRNA from 1 species